GAUGAACGCUGGCGGCGUGCCUAAUACAUGCAAGUCGAGCGAACAGACGAGGAGCUUGCUCCUCUGACGUUAGCGGCGGACGGGUGAGUAACACGUGGAUACCCUACCUAUAAGACUGGGAUAACUUCGGGAAACCGGAGCUAAUACCGUAUAACAUGUUGAACCGCAUGGUUCAACAGUGAAAGACGGUCUUGCUGUCACUUAUAGAUGGAUCCGCGCCGCAUUAGAUAGUUGGUACGGUAACGGCUUACCAAGGCAACGAUGCGUAGCCGACCUGAGAGGGUGAUCGGCCACACUGGAACUGAGACACGGUCCAGACUCCUACGGGAGGCAGCAGUAGGGAAUCUUCCGCAAUGGGCGAAAGCCUGACGGAGCAACGCCGCGUGAGUGAAGAAGGUCUUCGGAUCGUAAAACUCUGUUAUUAGGGAAGAACAAAUGUGUAAGUAACUAUGCACGUCUUGACGGUACCUAAUCAGAAAGCCACGGCUAACUACGUG
rnacentral:rRNA from 1 species